GUAGGUGGCAAGCGUUGUCCGGAAUUAUUGGGCGUAAAGCGCGCGCAGGCGGUCCUUUAAGUCUGAUGUGAAAGCCCACGGCUCAACCGUGGAGGGUCAUUGGAAACUGGGGGACUUGAGUACAGAAGAGAGGAGUGGAAUUCCACGUGUAGCGGUGAAAUGCGUAGAGAUGUGGAGGAACACCAGUGGCGAAGGCGACUCUUUGGUCUGUAACUGACGCUGAGGCGCGAAAGCGUGGGGAGCAAACAGGAUUAGAUACCCUGGUAGUCCACGCUGUAAACGAUGAGUGCUAAGUGUUAGAGGGUUUCCGCCCUUUAGUGCUGCAGCUAACGCAUUAAGCACUCCGCCUGGGGAGUACGGCCGCAAGGCUG
rnacentral:rRNA from 1 species